rnacentral:rRNA from 1 species
GACGAACGCUGGCGGCGUGCUUAACACAUGCAAGUCGAACGCUGAAGCUCAGCUUUGGUUGGGUGGAUGAGUGGCGAACGGGUGAGUAACACGUGAGUAACCUGCCCCCUUCUUUGGGAUAACGCCCGGAAACGGGGGCUAAUACUGGAUAUGCGCUGGGCUGCGCAUGUGGGUUGGUGGAAAGGGUUUUGCUGAGGGGGGAGUGGGCCGCGGCCUAGCAGCUUGGUGGUGGGGUGAUGGCCUACCAAGUCUUUGACGAGUAGACGGCCUGGGAUGGUGACUGGUCACAUUGGGACUGAGAUACGGACCAGAACCCUACGGGAGGCAGUAGGGGGGACUAUUGUACAAUGGGUGCCACCAUGAUGCAGCGCCGCCGCGUGCGGGAUGGAGGCCGUCGCGUUGUGAACCUCUUUCGCUAAUGCUCAAGCCGCAACAAUGGUUGUGGUGAGGGUAGUGGGUAAAGAAGCGCCGGCUAACUACGUG